AGAUUGACCGUCCGGAUCGAGCCCUUAUUCUUGUCGGAUCAAGUUGAAUUUUUGCCCAUACAUGUAUUUUGUCAUGGUGGUCAGAUCUGACGGUCGGAUUUCUGUUUCUCAAGUUUGAUCAUCACAAUCACAAUGUACCAAAUGUAUAAAAGUACUUUAGCCGACGAAUUUCAAAGGUUAGCCGACGAAUUUCAAAGGUUUAGCUGAUGAAUUUCGAAGGUUUAGCCGACGAAUUGAUUAUUAGCCGACGAGAUUCUUAGCUUUAGCCGACGAAAUAAUAAUUUCGUCGGCUAAAGUUGUCGGGUUUAACUUGCGCUCGACAGCAGAAAAACCCUAGCCUCCUCUUCCGCCUCCUCCGCCUCCUCCGCGUCCUCUCCCUCUCCCGGUCUCCCAGUCACUCUCUCCCUCUCCCGGUCUCCGCCUCCUCCCUCCUCCCUCC
rnacentral:lncRNA from 1 species